GAAGGUAUAGCUCAGUGGUAGAGUGCUUGCUUAUCAUACACAAGGUCCUGGGUUCAAUCCCCAGUACCUCUA
rfam:Camelus ferus unplaced genomic scaffold scaffold644, whole genome shotgun sequence.